CAAUCUAACAGAUUAGGGUACGUCGCUACAGCCCUGGAGGGAUCUGGAGGCGGGCAGAGCCAGGUCUCCGCCGUGAGCACGGGGGCCGCCCGCAGAGAGCCUGGAAGAGCCGCGUUCCGGGGACCCUGCGCAGGCCGGGGACGUGGGCGGGUACGCAGCUCCCAACCGCGCAGGCAGCAAGGGCCCGAGCUGCGCCGAGCGGCGCGCACCAGGCCGUCCAGGAGCCCCACCCCCUGCGACCUCGCAGCACCCCCUCCCCCACCGCGGGGAGGGCUCCGCACGCCGCGGGCCAGAACUCUCGGGCGCAGGCGCAGAGCCGCGCCGCCCACGCCCCCGCCGGCGCCCCAGUCCUGCCGCAGGUCUGCGCGGGGAGGACGAGGCCGGGCCCCACCGAGCGCGCGAGGAGCCGCUGCUGCCCGGGCCGCCUGGGUGAGCGGCAUUAACAGAAGCUUUGUGAGAAGAGUAAGGACUGAGGUAUGCCAUCUUACAGUGUGGACCAGACUUUCAGAAAGUUGCAUUCAGUUGGCCAGAUGUGGACAUUACCAGACCAGUGAUUCUGGCUGCCUGGGAUACGGCCUUUGCUAG
rnacentral:lncRNA from 12 species